rnacentral:rRNA from 1 species
GAUGAACGCUGGCGGCGUGCCUAAUACAUGCCAGUCGAGCGAACGGACGAGAAGCUUGCUUCUCUGAUGUUAGCGGCGGACGGGUGAGUAACACGUGGAUAACCUACCUAUAAGACUGGGAUAACUUCGGGAAACCGGAGCUAAUACCGGAUGAUAUUUUGAACCGCAUGGUUCAAAAGUGAAAGACGGUCUUGCUGUCACUUAUAGAUGGAUCCGCGCUGCAUUAGCCAGUUGGUAAGGUAACGGCUUACCAAGGCAACGAUGCAUAGCCGACCUGAGAGGGUGAUCGGCCACACUGGAACUGAGACACGGUCCAGACUCCUACGGGAGGCAGCAGUAGGGAACCUGCCGCAAUGGGCGAAAGCCUGACGGAGCAACGCCGCGUGAGUGAUGAAGGUCUUCGGAUCGUAAAACUCUGUUAUUAGGGAAGAACAUAUGUGUAAGUAACUGUGCACAUCUUGACGGUACCUAAUCAGAAAGCCACGGCUAACUACGUG